AUGGACGUGAGGGAAUCCCUGGCAUGCCAGGUGCCAAGUUACAGCAGAUUCUGGCUUUCGUUAUUCAACCAUGGCCAUGUAAAAAGUGUGACAGUGGUAAAUGAGUUUUAUUUUUUUUACCUUUUACAGGGUGCCGCCGGAAAACCUGGAAGCCCCGGGGAAGCUGGCCUUCAAUUACUCCCUGGUUAACCGGGAAGCCCGGGUCCAAAAGGUGAAGCUGGAGAGAAGGGUCCUAAAGGUGACUUGGGCUUUCUUGGACUUCCAGGACCACCAGGCCUGUCAGGAAUAAAAGGAGAUAGGGUGAAGAUAUCUCUGCCCAGCAUAUUCAGAUAUAUAUUUUUUUAUGCCAAAUAUCUCAGAAUUUCCUACUUUUGUUUUUGUUCCCUGGUGAAUUGAUAAAACCUGUGCACCCUCUGGAAAUUGAAGUCAGGAAUUUUGAUUGGUGCUUUUAUACUUAAUUCUAUAUUUUAUUAAAGUGUACAUGGAGAUCUGCUACAUCAGCAUCCCUGUAACUAUAGCAAAAAGUCAUCUGCAGCUAUUUAAAAAAUAGCUAACCUCUUUAUAUUCACUGUUCCUACUUAAUUAGACAUUGAGGGUUCCACUUUUCUAGCAUUUAAAGCACUGCAAUUAUUAUGUGCUUCCAUUGGUGUUUUAAAGUUUAAAAAGCUUUGAAAGUACAAUGGUCCAUUUUAGAUUCAAUGUUUUCCUUAAUGCAUUUGAAAAAAGAACCUCAAACAGAUGUGGGAUUUAUAGACAGAGCUAAAUUCUGAGUGUUCAAUAUUGAGCAACUGUUGUUAUAGUGAACUCUUCAAACACAUGCUUACUGGUAAACAUUCAUGGGAAUGAAUUUCUGAAUGGGAUAUUACACCGGGUGAAGCAGGAGAACCUGGACCAAAGGGAGAACAGGUAAGAGCAUGAUUCACAUUCUCAUCAGAUACAGCACUGCAAAACUAAACUACCCCAGAUACUUUUAAAAUGAAUGCAGAAAACGAAUGUAUACAUGUAUUUAAAUAAGUUUAUUCAAGUUUUUAAUUGAACAUUAUUUAUCAGGGUAACCAAAUCAAAAAUAACAAAAAUAUGACCUGUGAUAAAGGGCUGUUACUAUAGUCAAAGGGCGCCAAACCCUUUAAAACACAUUAAAAUGACUGUAACAGACAAAAUCAAAUGGUUUAUUGCAUGUAGAAUUAAAUACAGUAUACAUCUAUAUAAUGAUUUAUUAAGAAUAAAAAUCACAAACCAAUUCUCUCACCAAGUGAUGUGGUUCCUGUAGGCAGUGAAUGCAGCUCGUCCAAUUACAUUUUAUCACCAAAACAAUCCAUUCUCAAAGUCUUACAGUAACAGAACUCCACAGAUAAC
rnacentral:lncRNA from 1 species